rnacentral:rRNA from 1 species
AGAACGAACGCUGGCGGCAGGCUUAACACAUGCAAGUCGAACGGUUGUAGCAAUACAGCAGUGGCAGACGGGUGAGUAACACGUGGGAACCUUCCUAGGGGUACGGAACAACUCAGGGAAACUUGAGCUAAUACCGUAUACGUCCGUGAGGAGAAAGAUUUAUCGCCCCUAGACGGGCCCGCGUAGGAUUAGGUAGUUGGUGAGGUAACGGCUCACCAAGCCUACGAUCCUUAGCUGAUCUGAGAGGAUGAUCAGCCACACUGGGACUGAGACACGGCCCAGACUCCUACGGGAGGCAGCAGUGGGGAAUCUUGGACAAUGGGCGCAAGCCUGAUCCAGCCAUGCCGCGUGAGUGAAGAAGGCCUUGGGUGUAAAGCUCUUUACUAGGAACGAUAAUAGACGGUACCGUAGGAGAAAUAAAGACCCCGGACCGAAAACCUUACCGU